CAUGAGUAAGUGGCGACCGGGUGAGUACACGUGACUAACCUACCUUCGAGUGGGGGAUAACCUCGUGGACAACGAUGCUAAUACCGCAUAACAUCGUGAGAUCAAAGCAGCAAUGCGCUGGAAGAGGGGGUCGCGGCUGAUAAGCUAGUUGGCGGGGUAACGGCCCACCAAGGCGAAUAUCGGUAUCCGGCCUGAGAUGGCGCACGGCCACACUGGAACUGAAACACGGUCCAUACUCCUACGGGAGGCAUCAGUGGGGAAUUUUGCGCAAUGGGGGAAACCCUGACGCAUCAUCGCCGCGUGGAGGAUGAAGCCCCUUGGGGCGUAAACUCCUUUCGACCAAUACGAUAAUGACUGUACUGGUGGAAGAAUCACCGGCUAACUCUGUGCCAGCAGCCGCGGUAAU
rnacentral:rRNA from 1 species